rnacentral:rRNA from 1 species
GACGAACCGUGCGAACGUUGUUCGGAUUCACUGGGCUUAAAGGGCGCGUAGGCGGGCACGCCAGUCAGGGGUGAAAUCCUCCGGCUCAACCGGAGAAGGGCCUUUGAUACUGCGUGCCUCGAGGGGGGUAGGGGCGUGUGGAACUUCGGGUGGAGCGGUGAAAUGCGUAGAGAUCCGAAGGAACGCCGGUGGCGAAAGCGACGCGCUGGACCCCACUGACGCUGACGGCGCGAAAGCCAGGGGAGCAAACAGG